AAUGAGCUUUACUCCGAGCCUGCUUUGCCUAAGGCACCGGCUAUGGCGGCAGGCCGAUACGGUGGUCCUGGAAACGGGGCCGCCCCCCGUGUGGAAAGGAGUGAGCACGCAUGAUUG
rnacentral:ncRNA from 2 species